rnacentral:rRNA from 1 species
GUGCACCAGGCGCGAAAACUCCGCUAUGUCGGAAACGACGACGGGGGAAUCCUGAGUGCCUGCACUAUUGUGCAGGCUUUUGUCGAGACUAGAAACCUCGGCGAAUAAGGACUGGACAAGACCGGUGCCAGCACCCGCGGUAACACCGGCGGUCCAAGUGGUAGCCACAAUUACUGGGUUUGAAGCGUCCGCAGCUGGACUGCUAAAUCCUGGGUCAAAUCCUGGAGCUUAACUUCAGGGUCGCCUGGGGACACUGACAGUCUCGGGACCGGGAGAGGACAAGGGGAACCCCAUGGGUAGGGGCUAAAUCCUAUAAUCCAUCGGUGACCACCGGUAGCGAAGGCGCUUGUCUGGAACGGGUCCGACAGUGAGGGACGAAGCCCAAGGUAGCGAACGGGAUUAGAUACCCCUGUAGU